rnacentral:rRNA from 1 species
UACGAAGGGGACUAGCGUUGCUCGGAAUCACUGGGCGUAAAGGGUGCGUAGGCGGGUCUUUAAGUCAGGGGUGAAAUCCUGGAGCUCAACUCCAGAACUGCCUUUGAUACUGAGGAUCUUGAGUACGGGAGAGGUGAGUGGAACUGCGAGUGUAGAGGUGAAAUUCGUAGAUAUUCGCAAGAACACCAGUGGCGAAGGCGGCUCACUGGCCCGUUACUGACGCUGAGGCACGAAAGCGUGGGGAGCAAACAGG